UAUAAUAAAACAUUUUUGGCAGCUUAGAUAAAAAAAUAGUGAAAUUAGAAAAUGUAGGAAUUUAGAGAACCUUUAAAAUAUCUGGGAAAAUUUGGGAAUUUAAUGAUAUAUUUAAAUGAAUUUUAGUGAAUGAUCAAAAUAAUUAGCAAAGUAAAUGAGGAAAAUUUUAAAGGGUUUGGAAAUACAUAUGUAAGUUUUGUAUAUAUGUAUAAUUAUCUGUAUCUAUAAACGUUCACUGUACUUCACCGAAAACUUUUGUCUUCCACAUUGAAUUUCAUGAAACUCCUUCCUCAUGUCGAGACACGUGUACAAGUGAGAAGGCCGAAGGUAUCGCGGCCGUGAAGUCUUCCGUUCUCAUUGAAGCAAGAUCAAAACCGAGGAUUGUUGUCGGCCACCUAUGGUGCCGCUGGUCAGUCGCGGCUGCACCCAAAAAGUAAUGCAGUCGCCCAAGGCGGUUGUCCAACCCCAAUUGUGUGGCGGGUGGUCACCAGUGCCGCUGGUCAUUCGCUGCAGCACAAGAAAAUAUCGUCAAGGUAGUUGCCGGUAGUGCCGCUGGUACACGUGGAUUCAUAUCAAGGAAGAUUUAUUACAAAUCACAAGAAAUGCAAGCGAUCCGUUACACUGUUCGCAUAACCUCAUCUUAAACGUGCAUCCUGAUAUUAGCCCAUGGCGAAACAAUGAAAGGUGGUCCUAUUUGUACAACAGCCACAAAUCAUAUGGUGCAAUACGCAAUCUCAUCAUCCAUUUCAAAAAUUGCUUUUUUCUCAAUAAAACCAAAAAAACUUUA